GUCACUAGAAGCCUUGCAACCACAUAUAAAUCUCAAAGCAUUGAGUUUAAAGCGGUACGGGGUAGUGAGAUUUCCACAUUGGUUUUUGUCCCUCAGAGAUCUUGUCCAAUUUAAAUUAGAUUCAUGUAAAAAAUGCCAAUAUCUUCCAUCGUUGGACCAAUUUCCUUCUCUCAAAAUUAUUUAUUUGUUCGAAUUGAAUUCUUUAGAGCACAUAUCAGAUUCAGAGAGAGAUAACAAUGAUUCUUUAUUCUACCCAUCUUUGGAGAAACUCUAUAUUAAAGAAUGCCCUAAUUUAAAGGGAUGGUGGCGGGGAAGGAGGGAUUCUCUUCCUUCAUUUCCUCGUCUUUCUAGUUUACAAAUUUGGAAUUCCCCUCAGCUGACUUCCUUUCCUUUGUUUCCAUAUCUCGAAGGUUUGAAGCUAAUGAAUUGUAGCUUAAAGCAGUCAUUGGAGAGGAUGAUGAUAAACAACAAGACUUCUUCAGGGAAUCUACCAUAAAUUGCUUCUUCUUCUUCUACAAUUGUUGCCCCUCUCUCCAAAUUAAAUUUCCUGUGGAUAAAGGGAACGGAAAAAGCUUUGCCAAAGGAGUGCCUACCAAAUCUCAUUUCUCUCCGUACUAUAUAUCUACUCAAAUGUCCUCUUCCUCAAGGCAUUCGAUAUCUUACGGCACUUCAAAAUCUGUUUGUUUGGAACUCUGAGGUGGUUGAUUUAUCCAAUGAUUGUGAUGAGAUGGAAUGGCAAGGACUUAGGACCCUUCUCUUUUUGCAAUUCCGUCAACUUCCAAAGUUGGUCUCUCUCCCAACGGGGCUUCAAUAUGUCAGCUCUCUACAAAAACUCCAAAUUUCGUACUGUCCUAGUUUGAUAGCUAUACCGGAGUGGAUCUGCAAACUUAUAUCUCUUCAAUCACUUUUAAUUAGGGAUUGCCCUAAAUUGGAAUCAUUGCCAAAAGGAAUCGAUGAAAUUGGAGGAUGUCCCAUCUUACUGAAAAGAUGCAAGAAGCAAAUCGGGGAAGAUUGGCAUAAAAUUUCUCACAUUCCCAAUUUGGAAGGAGAUCUGUCUCGGCAAGAAGAAGAGCCAGAUGAAGAAGAACCAAAUGAAGAAAUUUCAGAUGAAGAAGAACCAAACGAAGAAGCAAAGAAACCUGCUUGUCAGAAUUGGGACUUAAUUAAAGCUUUUGGGUGCUGCAAUUGUUCAACAACACAACAACUCACUCACUGAGUCAAUAUUACUAGGACAAUUGAACUGGGCAACCGUGCCAUAGGAUUCAGCUCAUUGUACAGUCUUUUAUCAUGUACAUUUAUAUAGCUAGCUUUCAACAACAAUAUGUGGCUUUCUCAAGUGAUUUAUCGAUCACAAGACAAGAAGUAGAGAAUAAAUAUAGGGCCCCAUGUGUAAGUGAUGUAGUGCUUUUGAUCUCUAAGUACAUUGAGAUACAGAGAUGAUUGCUUUCAUACAGUUUGCAUAUAGCCUCAAGACUCCUAUGAAAGGAGGAAAUAGGUCACGAGUGCAUUAAGCUGCUCACAUCCCAGAGAUUGAAAUUUAUUUUGGAAGGAUUUAGCUCCAAUGUGUAUACAGGUUGAUGACUUUAUCAUUUAUUGGGCUCUAUAUGCAAAAACCUGAGGAGAAAUGAAUACUGAAGCAGGUAAGAAUUUAAAAGUGCAUGUUUUUUUUCCAAACUCGACUAUGCGAAGUUUACACAGAAACAAGGAGAAAAUAAUGUAUGAUAGGCAACAUCAACAGCAAAGUCUUAUUCCCAAGUUUUGAGAAGUUGGCUUUCCAGGUGAAGGCAAGACUGUUCACCUAAAUGAGAAAGAGCGAUGCUUUUAAACAUGAACUUCCUCUCUUUGUGGUCAUGGGAUGUUGGAAUGGAUACCAAGGUUGAUUUGACUGAACUCACUACUUUGUAUCUCAAAUUGAGUUGAUGAAAUGAUGUAUUUGAUGUGCUUCAACUAUUGUUUAAACAGAGUAAAAUUUGGCUCAAGGUGAUAUCAAGGUGUAUAUAUGUCAAGAGUGGACUAAGCUUUUCAUAUCCCACGAUUCGAAAUUUAUUUUAGAAGUAUUUAACCCGUGUGUCUACAGGUGUGGGGAGUUUAUUAGUUAUUGGGUACUAUAUCCAAAAGCCUGAGGAUAAUUGAUAAUACAGUAGACAAGAGUUUAAUAGUGCAUGUUUUUCUAAAGCUGCUUGGUACAAAAACUAUGCAGAAACUAAGAAAAAGAAUGACCGGUGGUACUUAGAGAAUUCCCGAAAUCAGGGUAGAUGAUUCUAGGACCUUACUUGAUGAGUUCCAUGAACGGAAGGAUUGUUUGGUGAAUGUUGUAAAAUCGUAAACAAGACAUUUGAUUUCGUCUUUCCACUAAUUUCUCAAGGCUGCUUACCAUACCAUGAAGUUAUAGACAUUUCGAGAUAGUAAACUUGUAAAAUAUCAGGUGGCAGUGUCCUAGUUUGAUAGCUAUACCGGAGUGGAUCUGCAAACUUAUAUCUCUUCAAUCACUUGAAAUUUGGGAUUGCCCUAAUUUGGAAUCAUUGCCACAAGGAAUUGGUGCCCUUACCUCUUUGCAAACACUAAGUAUUUACAAAUGUCCCAUCUUACUGAAAAGAUGCAAGAAGCAAAUGGGGGAAGAUUGGCAUAAAAUUUCUCACAUUCCCAAUUUGGAAGGAGAUCUUGAAGAAGAGCCAGAAGAACCAAACGAAGAAGCAAAGAAACCUACUUGUCAGAAUUGGGACUUAAUUAAAGCUUUUUGGUGCUGCAAUUGUUCAACAACACAACAACUCACUCACUGAGUCAAUAUUACUAGGAGAAUUGAACUGGGCAACCGUGCCAUAGGAUUCAGCUCAUUGUACAGAAGUUGGCUUUCCAGGUGAAGACAAGACUGUUCGCCUAAAUGAGAAAGAUCGAUGCUUUUAAACAUGAACUUCCUCUCUUUGUGGUCAUGGGAUGUGGGAAUGGAUACCAAGGUUGAUUUGACUGAACUCACUGCUUUGUAUCUCAAAUUGAGCUGAUGAAAUGAUGUAUUUGAUGUGCUUCAACUAUUGUUUAAACAGACUAAAAUUUGGCUCAAGGUGAUAUCAAGGUGUGGGGAGUUUAUUAGUUAUUGGGUUCUAUAUCCAAAAGCCUGAGGAUAAUUGAUAAUACAGCAGACAAGAAUUUAAUAGUGCAUGUUUUUCUAAACCUGCUUGGUACAAAAACUAGGCAGAAACUAAGAAAAAGAAUGGCUGGUGGUACUUAGAGAAUUCCCUGAAAUCAGGGUAGAUGAUUCUAGGACUUUACUUGAUGAGUUCCAUGAACAGAAGGAUUGUUUGGUGAAUGUUGUGAAAUCAUAAACAAGAUAUUUGAUUUUGUCUUUGCACUAAUUUCUCAAGGCUGCUUAUCAUACCAUGAAGUUAUAGACAUUUCGAGAUAGGAAACUUGUAAAAUAUCAGGUGGAAAUAUGUCAAGAGUAGACUAAGCUUUUCACAUCCCAGGAUUUGAAGUUUAUUUCAAAAGUAUUUAACCCAUGUGUCUACAGGUAUGGAGAGUUUAUUAGUUAUUGGGUUCUAUAUCACAAAGCUGAGGAUAAUUGAUAAUACAUCAGACGAUAGUUUAACAGUGCAUGUUUAUCUAAACCUACAUGGAAUGAAAAGUAUGUUGAAGCGAAGAAAAAGAAUGGUUCUCAUAAAUGAAGACCGUUGGCACUUAGAGAAUUCCAUGAAAUCCGGGUAGAUGAUUCUUGGACUUCUUAACUUGAUGAGUUCCGUGAACAAAAGGAUUGUUUGGUGAAUGUUGUAAAAUCAUAAACAAGAUAUUUGAUUUCAUCUUAGCUCUAAUUUCUCAAGGUUGCUUAACAUACCAUGAGGUUAUAGACACAUUUUGAGAUAGGAAACGUGUAAAAUAUCAGGUAAUUAUAUUUCCUAAAGUUUGGGUUCCAAAUAAAUAUGUAAAUAUAGUCUUGGUACAGAUUAGAUAUUUGAAUCUUUAUGCUUUACAUUUUUU